UACGGGGGGAGCAAGCGUUGUUCGGAUUUACUGGGCGUAAAGGGCGCGUAGGCGGCGUGACAAGUCACUUGUGAAAUCUCCGGGCUUAACUCGGAACGGUCAAGUGAUACUGUCGUGCUAGAGUACAGAAGGGGCAACUGGAAUUCUCGGUGUAGCGGUGAAAUGCGUAGAUAUCGAGAGGAACACCUGCGGCGAAGGCGGGUUGCUGGGCUGACACUGACGCUGAACUGCGAAAGCUAGGGGAGCGAACGGG
rnacentral:rRNA from 1 species